AGGGGUCGCCAAUGCACCACCAAGCUCAGGGGUUGCCCUACAUGUUGCCAAUGCUUUGGCCUUACUCUUUCCUGCCAUGGCUUUUGAUGUUGUUAUGAAUUCUGGGAGCUUGCCUUCAGAGUACUGGGGUGUGGACUCAGGUACCCUGCUCACCAUACAUAGGGCUCUCUCGCUCUCUCUCUCCCUGAGAACUGUCCUCAACUGGGGCUAUGUUGCUGGCCCUCAAAACAACGGUUCUCAGUCUCUCAAGUGGUUUCAGCCACUAGCCCCCUCUAAGAGUGUACAAUUAGGGUUUGUUGGCUAGUCCCUUUAGUCAUGUCUGCAGUAUCUUUCCCCAGGCAUCAGUUGUGUCCUCCUCUCUCCCCUUCAGCCACUCCUAAGCCUUGUAGCGUAUUUGCUCACAAUAAUCAAAACCCAAACAAUCAAUUGUUGCUAGGGUGCUUUUUCUUACCUCUCUGCAGGCUCCUACUGUCAGGGACUCUGUUCAAACAGGACUGCCUGGGCCAAGCACUUGAGUUAUCACACCUGCCCCUGAUCCCUGGCUAAUGAGACUGCCCUAGUUCUCUCCGACUAGAUUGGCUACUGAAAGCACCACUCACCCCCUUUAAACACACAUGCAACCUCAAUCUGUUCUGGCAAGCCUUGCAUUCACGGCUCUCCCUGGUUCUUCUGACUUCUGAUUUGGCUUUGGCUUUUCCUGACCCUGAUCUUGGAUCUCCCCUGGAACCUGGUGUUGGCCUUCCUGUCUCUGGUUUUUCUGGCAUCCUAACCCAGCUUGGCUUUCUUGAUCUUGAUCUCUGAUCUUCCCAGAAACUCGACACUGGUUCUUGGACCCCUAGCUCCUGAACAUGGUGUGCACCUCAGACUGGGUCUCCCCUCUCAGCUUCCUCUCUGAACUUGGUCCACACUCUCUCCACUCUACUGACCCAGACCCCAACGUGACGCUGUGGUAACCUGUGCCCCUGCCCUGCUGACCUCCUACUUGCCCCUGAUGGCCUAUCCACAGACCCGGCUGCGUAUGUCCUGGCUGAACCCUUACACCUACUUAGUUCAGCUGGCCUGGCCCAACUCCACCCCUUCUAGGUCUACUCCAGAUUUCCCCCAUUCUCCAGUAUAGAAAUAAUUAAGCAUUCUUUACAUAGAACAGCUUGAAUGCCAUUCAUUAUUUCAGUGUGCCACAAAUUGAACAAAGAUGACAAAACGUUGAAUAGUUCAUUUAGUGAUUACCAUCCUUUUUUCAGCUGGAUGGAAUUGGGGUCCUGUAAAAAAAACCCGUAAUUAAAGACAGGGGGACCAAAUGAAGAUUGCCUAGAUGUUGAUUGUUUAUCCUAUAUUCACAUUAGCUUUAGUCAAGAAAGAAGAUGGGUUUUGUGGCUCAUAGGAAGUGCUUAAAAUGAAGCAUUUUAAUCAGUCCUUUCUAAAUGAAACUUUUAGUAGAAUUGAGGGAAACAAGUUUAAUCUAAAAUUCUGUCUUGCUCUCAAAUGAUAAGAAUAGUUAUCCUAAAGUAUGCCUGAACAUUUGUGGGUUCCAGUUUAGAAUAGCUCUGAAACUGGCAACAUUUAUACUGACACACCAGUUGGUUUGUGCUGUAUUUUUUUGCUUGCUUCUAUAAAAAACUUCUCAGACAAUUUAAAUGGUAUAAAUUAACUAUAGAACACAAAAUAAUGUCCUUUUUGGCUGUACUACAGUUUAUUCUGUCACUUUCAUUGAAAUAUUUGUUCUGGGAAUACAUAGAAUAUUAAGCUUUAAUUCCUCUCUGUUGAAGAACUUUACCAAGAGUUGAACUUAUGUCGCUUUUUCGGGAGAUAAUUUCCAAGUAAGGGAGCCUGGACUUGUUAGUUGUGAUCACCCUUUCUGAAUUAGGUGUUUUUCUACCCCCUUCCUCUUGAAUUUGUAAUAGUCAUGCCAUACUUGAUGGUCCAUCAUUAUAUUUAUGUAGUUCAGGCCUUCUGCUGGUCCCCCCAAAAAACGCAUCCCUCUCUUCUCUAUAAUCACCCUUUAGGUAUUUGAAGACUGUUAUCAAAUAUCCCCUCAGUCUUCUCUUCUCCAAACUAAAUAACUUUAAUUAUUGUGUUUUAUGUCUCAGGGCUCUAAUAUUUUUUUGUCACUCUGCUGAACUUUCCAAUCUGUCCACACACUUUUUGAAGUGUGGAGAAACAUUACUCCAGGUGAGGCAUCUCAACUUACAGGCCAUUGUAACCCCCAAGUCCUCUGUAGUAGUACAUCCAGUCAUUCUCCAGGCUGCAUUUGUGCAUUUUUUUUCCAUUCCAAGUGCAGGACUUUGCACUUGUUCUCAUUGAAUUUCAUCUGAUUGACCUGGGUAGACAGGAGAAAUGGUUUGAAAUCAUUUUGGAUCCUAGACCUGUUCUGCAGUGUCUGUAGUUCUACCCAACUUGCUGUCAUCUGCAAAUUUACUAAGUGUGCACUCAAUUUUUUGUCCAAAUCAUUAAUGAAGAUAUUAAAUAAUAUUAGAUCCAGGACAGAUCCCUGGGGAACCCCAGUUGAUACCUCCUUCCAACAGACAUUGAGCCAUGGAUACCUCCUUGUUGACCACAAUGAUGCAUCCAGUUAUGUAUCCACCUUAUGGUACCUUUUGCCUAGUCUGUAUUUCUUUAGCUUGUUAAUGAAAAUGUUGUGGGAGACCCAUCCAUGACAGCACUUCAAUCAUGAGGGCAUAUGACAUGUAGGCAUCUGACAAAUCCCCUGUUAAUGCAGGGUCUCAAGACAUUGAUAAAGCCUGCUGCUCUGUUCUUUCCAUGUGGCAUGCUUUCAAUGUAGUGUGUUCACAAGUACUGACUAUCCUAAGGGCAAAUUUGCCAUGCCAAGCAAACAUUCUAUGCUACUCUGCACAGCCUGUUUCCUUAACUGAAAGUAGUAUAAGUGUAUGUAUGCAAUUCUUCAGGUGGGAGAAAUAGCACUGUCAGUCUGUCUGAAUCUGAGGGAUCUUGACUUGUCAAGGGAGGAGCAGGAAGAAACCGUAGAAAAGAGGGCAAAGGAAGUGUGUUUGGGGGAUCAAAGGAGGAGGGAGUAAUUAGUAGCCUGUUAGGGAUCUAAGUGAUGGUCAAAUCAAGGAAGAUUUUGCAUGGCUGAUUGAGAAAUAAGCCCUAAGAGAUGUCUGGGAGAGAAGCUUUGAGGGGUUCUACAGGACUUUCAGGAAGUAAGCUACCAUUGCUUCCCCUUCUUUCCUCCCCCUCCCCCAAAAAGGAAAGAGAGAGUUGGGAGGUAGUGAGCAUUCUGGUGGUUAUCCUUCUUCCAAAGUAUAAAGUCAGUUUAACUAUUGUUGAUGAAUUUCAUAAAUUUAAAGUUAAAAAAGUGUGCAAGAAUUGAAUAUUGAACACUAAAGUGAUAUUUCCAAAUCUGCAAAAAUGCAGUUUAUUAAAGUAUCUAAAAGUGGAAAUAUGGUACAUUAAAAAGAUAGCUCUGAUGUUAAAUUGUCAGACCAAUUUAUCCUAUAAGAUUAAAACAGGAUUUCCAAUUUUAGACAGACAUUUCAGAGGUAUAAGAAUUUCCCUAAAGCCUUAUAUCUAACAUGCAUCCAUAUUGAAGGAAAACAAGCUGCGAUUUUUUGUACUGCCGGAGGAACACUAUGAAAAUGAAAGCUAGAGUGAUUGCAACUUUUUAAACCUCAGAGCUCAACAUUAUACAUUUAAUAGACUACACCUCUUAAAAGGAAAAAGAAGAAGUAUGUGGCAUGAGAUUGUAUGGCAAUGUGAGUGAGUGUUUCUUAGUAUUAAGAACCUGUACUAGUUUCUAAAGAUAUUGUCUACACCUGGGAAUACUCACUGUCUCCUUGUCAUUUAGGUUUGCUCUCCACUGCAGUAGAGUCUGCCAGUCACUGGUCCUUGUGGCACACUGGGGUUUGGAGCAGCUCAAGUGUCCUGAGGCCUGGAGUAGGUUUGACUGAUUGGAAGGUGGACAGGAGUGACACUACAGAGCUGAGAACAGAGAGUCCUUUUAGAAGAUUAUGCUGCUAUGAGAGCUGGUCCCAGGGAAAUGGGUUACAACCUGACCCUCCUACAUUACACCACAUCCACUUUAGUGUGCUGACACAUCCCAGACCUGGUCAUUCAUCAUUAAGACUGCUCUGAGUUCAUCCCCAUGGCUACUCUCAGAUCUGCUGGAUUGAAGGCUUGGGAAUGGAUGAUGGGAGGCAAUGACAAUGGCGAACUUUCAGGUCUGCAUCCUGCCUGUGGACCUGUGUGGAUGGGGCAUGUUUAGUUUUUUUCUUCCUGAAGUAGGCCACUGCCAAAGCAUGGACAAGCCCAUAGCUUAAACCGUGUCCUCAAACAUAAUAUAAUUACAUAACUCAUGUAUAGAAGACACUUGUACAAUUUACACUUUUUCAUCCUCACUCUUCCAUUGCAAGAAGAGGAGAAGUUAGAGAUGAUAACUUUUCUGUUUGUAUAUAGCUGUAGCCAGCUUCAUCGCUGGGUAGCCAUUUUCUUAAUGCAAACAUCUACUGGUGAGGUGCCAUCAGGGAAGGAUCCAGACAGAGUACAGUGGGGCAGUCUUACUCCUCUUUGCCUGUUUUGUAUGUGAGCUUUUGGGACAAGGUCUGUCCAGAGCCCCUGCUUUCAUGUAGUGCCUGAAGCCCUAAGUGUAAGCACUGUCACCAUCACUUGUCCCUUUAGCCCCCUGCUAAAUAAAGUUGGGAGGAGAGGGGGGAGAAGAGUGGGGAAAAGCAAAUAGCAGCAGUGUUCACUCCCUGGGCUCCUGAGGCAGAUGAAAGCAGAGGCUCUGGCCAGACCCUGUUGAAAUCAGUUGGUGACCUUAUUGCUCAAUGCUCAUGUGGAGGUCUGGCAGACCAAAUGGGCAGUAAUCUUAGAGUUCACUGCACAUGUGCAGCACAGCCAAACUAGGGGUCCAAACCCCCUUUGCCCCAUUCCUGGAUUCUACUUGGUGUAAUAGUUUAUACUGAUGAAAACUAUCCCUGGAGAGCUGGCCACAUGUCUGCUCUAGACACUGGUGUUAGUUUAUUCUCAAGUAAAAUCCAGGGUAGGUUUCUCCAGACUGUAUGUACUGUGUGUUAUUUCCAAAACUUCAGCUUUUCAGGUAAGUGCAUUUAAACAGUUUCUAACUACUGUAUAUUAAUGAUUGAAUUUUUUAAAUUAACAGUCUAGUUAAUAUAUUAAAAAACAAGUUAUUUAAACACACAGGAUUCAAUUGUUUGUUUUGUAUACUUAAUUUACAAUGCCUAUAAUAUUAUAAUCUAUUAUUUAUGCAGGUAGUGCUUUAAUACUGAAAAAAUGUAUUGCCAUGAUUUAAACUCUAGUUUAAUCAAAUAAAGAUCAAGAAUUUUAUCUACUA